CCUACGGGAGGCAGCAGUAAGGAAUAUUGGUCAAUGGAGGCAACUCUGAACCAGCCAUGCCGCGUGCAGGAAGAAGGCCCUAUGGGUCGUAAACUGCUUUUGUACCAGAGAAAACCCGAGUACGUGUACUCGGUUGAUAGUAUGGUAAGAAUAAGCAUCGGCUAACUUCGUGCCAGCAGCCGCGGUAAGACGAAGGAUGCAAGCGUUAUCCGGAUUCAUUGGGUUUAAAGGGUGCGUAGGCGGACUGAUAAGUCAGUGGUGAAAUCUCUCAGCUUAACUGAGAAGCUGCCAUUGAUACUGUUAGUCUAGAGUAUAGAUGACGUUGGCGGAAUAUGACAUGUAGUGGUGAAAUACUUAGAUAUGUCAUAGAACACCGAUUGCGAAGGCAGCUAACGAAACUAUAACUGACGCUGAGGCACGAAAGUGCGGGGAUCAAACAGGAUUAGAUACCCUGGUAGUCCGCACCGUAAACGAUGAUUACUCGUUGUUGGCAAUAUGACCGUCAGCGACCAAGCGAAAGCGAUAAGUAAUCCACCUGGGGAGUACGCCGGCACGGUGAAACUUAAAGUGAAUUGACGG
rnacentral:rRNA from 1 species